CACUCCUACGGGAGGCAGCAGUGGGGAAUAUUGGACAAUGGGCGAAAGCCUGAUCCAGCAAUGCCGCGUGAGUGAUGAAGGCCUUAGGGUUGUAAAGCUCUUUUACCCGGGAUGAUAAUGACAGUACCGGGAGAAUAAGCCCCGGCUAACUCCGUGCCAGCAGCCGCGGUAAUACGGAGGGGGCUAGCGUUGUUCGGAAUUACUGGGCGUAAAGCGCGCGUAGGCGGCUUUGUAAGUUAGAGGUGAAAGCCCGGAGCUCAACUUCGGAAUUGCCUUUAAGACUGCAUCGCUAGAAUCGUGGAGAGGUGAGUGGAAUUCCGAGUGUAGAGGUGAAAUUCGUAGAUAUUCGGAAGAACACCAGUGGCGAAGGCGACUCACUGGACACGUAUUGACGCUGAGGUGCGAAAGCGUGGGGAGCAAACAGGAUUAGAAACCCCGGUAGUCC
rnacentral:rRNA from 1 species